UUGAACGCUGGCGGCAGGCCUAACACAUGCAAGUCGAACGGUAACAGGAAGAAGCUUGCUUCUUUGCUGACGAGUGGCGGACGGGUGAGUAAUGUCUGGGAAACUGCCUGAUGGAGGGGGAUAACUACUGGAAACGGUAGCUAAUACCGCAUAACGUCGCAAGACCAAAGAGGGGGACCUUCGGGCCUCUUGCCAUCGGAUGUGCCCAGAUGGGAUUAGCUAGUAGGUGGGGUAACGGCUCACCUAGGCGACGAUCCCUAGCUGGUCUGAGAGGAUGACCAGCCACACUGGAACUGAGACACGGUCCAGACUCCUACGGGAGGCAGCAGUGGGGAAUAUUGCACAAUGGGCGCAAGCCUGAUGCAGCCAUGCCGCGUGUAUGAAGAAGGCCUUAGGGUUGUAAAGUACUUUCAGCGGGGAGGAAGGGAGUAAAGUUAAUACCUUUGCUCAUUGACGUUACCCGCAGAAGAAGCACCGGCUAACUCCGUGCCAGCAGCCGCGGUAAUACGGAGGGUGCAAGCGUUAAUCGGAAUUACUGGGCGUAAAGCGCACGCAGGCGGUUUGUUAAGUCAGAUGUGAAAUCCCCGGGCUCAACCUGGGAACUGCAUCUGAUACUGGCAAGCUUGAGUCUCGUAGAGGGGGGUAGAAUUCCAGGUGUAGCGGUGAAAUGCGUAGAGAUCUGGAGGAAUACCGGUGGCGAAGGCGGCCCCCUGGACGAAGACUGACGCUCAGGUGCGAAAGCGUGGGGAGCAAACAGGAUUAGAUACCCUGGUAGUCCACGCCGUAAACGAUGUCGACUUGGAGGUUGUGCCCUUGAGGCGUGGCUUCCGGAGCUAACGCGUUAAGUCGACCGCCUGGGGAGUACGGCCGCAAGGUUAAAACUCAAAUGAAUUGACGGGGGCCCGCACAAGCGGUGGAGCAUGUGGUUUAAUUCGAUGCAACGCGAAGAACCUUACCUGGUCUUGACAUCCACAGAACUUUCCAGAGAUGGAUUGGUGCCUUCGGGAACUGUGAGACAGGUGCUGCAUGGCUGUCGUCAGCUCGUGUUGUGAAAUGUUGGGUUAAGUCCCGCAACGAGCGCAACCCUUAUCCUUUGUUGCCAGCGGUCCGGCCGGGAACUCAAAGGAGACUGCCAGUGAUAAACUGGAGGAAGGUGGGGAUGACGUCAUGUCAUCAUGGCCCUUACGACCAGGGCUACACACGUGCUACAAUGGCGCAUACAAAGAGAAGCGACCUCGCGAGAGCAAGCGGACCUCAUAAAGUGCGUCGUAGUCCGGAUUGGAGUCUGCAACUCGACUCCAUGAAGUCGGAAUCGCUAGUAAUCGUGGAUCAGAAUGCCACGGUGAAUACGUUCCCGGGCCUUGUACACACCGCCCGUCACACCAUGGGAGUGGGUUGCAAAAGAAGUAGGUAGCUUAACCUUCGGGAGGGCGCUUACCACUUUGUGAUUCAUGACUGGGGUG
rnacentral:rRNA from 1 species